rnacentral:rRNA from 1 species
GGGCCCGCACAAGCGGUGGAGCAUGUGGUUUAAUUCGAUGAUACGCGAGGAACCUUACCAGGGCUUAAAUGCAGAGCGACAGAGGUGGAAACACCUCCUUCUUCGGACGGUCUGCAAGGUGCUGCAUGGUUGUCGUCAGCUCGUGCUGUGAAGUGUCGGGUUAAGUCCCAUAACGAGCGCAACCCCUAUUUCUAGUUGCCAGCGGUUCGGCCGGGGACUCUAGAGAAACUGCCAGCGUAAGCUGUGAGGAAGGUGGGGAUGACGUCAAAUCAUCACGGCCCUUACGUCCUGGGCCACACACGUGCUACAAUGGUAAGGACAGAGAGUUGCCAACCCGCGAGGUGAGCUAA